rnacentral:rRNA from 1 species
UAGGGAAUCUUCGGCAAUGGACGAAAGUCUGACCGAGCAACGCCGCGUGAGUGAAGAAGGUUUUCGGAUCGUAAAACUCUGUUGUUAGAGAAGAACAAGGACGUUAGUAACUGAACGUCCCCUGACGGUAUCUAACCAGAAAGCCACGGCUAACUACGUGCCAGCAGCCGCGGUAAUACGUAGGUGGCAAGCGUUGUCCGGAUUUAUUGGGCGUAAAGCGAGCGCAGGCGGUUUCUUAAGUCUGAUGUGAAAGCCCCCGGCUCAACCGGGGAGGGUCAUUGGAAACUGGGAGACUUGAGUGCAGAAGUGGAUAGUGGAAUUCCAUGUGUAGCGGUGAAAUGCGUAGAUAUAUGGAGGAACACCAGUGGCGAAGGCGGCUCUCUGGUCUGUAACUGACGCUGAGGCUCGAAAGCGUGGGGAGCAAACAGG